UAAUAGCGUCGUCGGAAGUUUGCAUUCAGCAUUUUCGUUCAAAAUUGAACGUACAUUAUGCUAUGCCAGGGUUGCGUACAAUCGGUACCCACACGAUGUGUAGCAAUUCUAAAGGAAUAACUAAUACGUAUAAAUAGGGUGUGCGCACGAAGUUUUUUUCGCAGGCCUUUAAUAACUUCGGGAAAAUAAUAAAAAAAGCAGUGUCCGUGGUCGGGGCUGAAUAGUACUGUGGAAGAUUGGGUUGGAAAUUUGCAAUAAAGAUCUGUAUUUUUGGGCAAUUGUUACUUUUUGAAAAAUAGUAUCCUACUGAUGUAAAAUAACAUCGGAAGGGUUUGGCAACAACGAUGUCCAAAGAGUAUGUUAGCCCUAAAGUUUAUUUCAUAAAAUGAUUUAUCUUUGUAUAUACUCAAUUCCAAGACAAUUUAAAGUUCGAGUAAAAAGUUUAAUAACAAUUGAUAUAAAUUGAAACUC
rnacentral:lncRNA from 1 species